rnacentral:rRNA from 1 species
UACGAAGGGGGCUAGCGUUGCUCGGAAUCACUGGGCGUAAAGCGCACGUAGGCGGCUUUUUAAGUCAGGGGUGAAAUCCUGGAGCUCAACUCCAGAACUGCCUUUGAUACUGAGAAGCUUGAGUCCGGGAGAGGUGAGUGGGACUGCGAGUGUAGAGGUGAAAUUCGUAGAUAUUCGCAAGAACACCAGUGGCGAAGGCGGCUCACUGGCCCGGUACUGACGCUGAGGUGCGAAAGCUAGGGGAGCGAACAGG